UCGGGGAUCGUCUAGUGGUAGGACGCUGGGUUUUGGUCCCAGUAGCCGGGGUUCGAAUCCCUGUCCCCGAGCCA
rnacentral:tRNA from 1 species